UUUCCGUAGGUGAACCUGCGGAAGGAUCAUUACUGAGUGAGGGCCCCUCGGGGUCCAACCUCCCACCCGUGUUUAACGAACCUGUUGCUUCGGCGGGCCCGCCUCACGGCCGCCGGGGGGCAUCUGCCCCCGGGCCCGCGCCCGCCGAAGCCACCUGUGAACGCUGUCUGAAGUAUGCAGUCUGAGACAAUUAUUAAAUUAAUUAAAACUUUCAACAACGGAUCUCUUGGUUCCG
rnacentral:misc_RNA from 1 species